UGUGUACUCCCUCCGUUCCAAAAUACUUGACUUCCAUUUGUCCAAAAAUGGAUGUGCCUAUAUACUAAAACAUGUAUAGAUACAUAUAUAUUUUGACAAAUAGAAGGCAUGUAUUGUGCAACGGAGGGAGUAGAAU
rfam:Triticum aestivum genome assembly, contig: Triticum_aestivum_CS42_TGACv1_scaffold_425898_5BS